UACAUGGGGUGCAAACGUUGCUCGGAAUUAUUGGGCGUAAAGCGCGCGUAGGCGGUUACUUAAGUCGGAUGUGAAAGCCCUCGGCUUAACUGAGGAAGUGCACCCGAAACUGAGUAGCUAGAGUACGAAAGAGGGUCGCGGAAUUCCCGGUGUAGAGGUGAAAUUCGUAGAUAUCGGGAGGAACACCGGUGGCGAAGGCGGCGACCUGGGUCGAGACUGACGCUGAGGAGCGAAAGUGUGGGGAGCGAACAGG
rnacentral:rRNA from 1 species